rnacentral:rRNA from 1 species
UAGGGAAUCUUCCGCAAUGGGCGAAAGCCUGACGGAGCAACGCCGCGUGAGUGAUGAAGGUCUUCGGAUCGUAAAACUCUGUUAUUAGGGAAGAACAAAUGUGUAAGUAACUAUGCACGUCUUGACGGUACCUAAUCAGAAAGCCACGGCUAACUACGUGCCAGCAGCCGCGGUAAUACGUAGGUGGCAAGCGUUAUCCGGAAUUAUUGGGCGUAAAGCGCGCGUAGGCGGUUUUUUAAGUCUGAUGUGAAAGCCCACGGCUCAACCGUGGGUGGUCAUUGGAAACUGGAAAACUUGAGUGCAGAAGAGGAAAGUGGAAUUCCAUGUGUAGCGGUGAAAUGCGCAGAGAUAUGGAGGAACACCAGUGGCGAAGGCGACUUUCUGGUCUGUAACUGACGCUGAUGUGCGAACGCGGGGGGAUCAAACAGG